rnacentral:rRNA from 1 species
UGAGCAAUCUGCCCUUCUCAUCGGAAUAAGCGUUGGAAACGACGUCUAAUGCCGAAUACGACCUCCUUUCGCAUGAUCGGAGGUGGAAAGCUCCGGCGGAGAAGGAUGAGCUCGCGGCCUAUCAGCUAGUUGGUGUGGGUAAUGGCCCACAAGGCGACGACGGGUAGCCGGCCUGAGAGGGUGACCCGGCCACACGUGGGACUGAGACACGGCCCAGACCUCCGUACGGGAGCAG